AUCGUUUUGUAGUUCAUAAGCAGGAUGAUUGGGUUUUCAUGCACAUGCGUGAGAUGUGCCUCCCUCAAUCCUGAUUACGACAUUGGCACAUUACCCACCUGACA
ensembl:snoRNA